CCGAAACAUGGAAGUGGACUGCUAUUUACUGCGACUACGAGACAUUUUUAAUCGGUUCUAAAACGGUCUCAAUUUACCGAUGCCAAGAUAUCAUGCAGACUACCGAGGACAGACCCAGAUCGGCUUCCCUGCCGCCUUCGACCUGCUGUCGGAGCUCCGCGCCCGACAGCAACAGCUCCUCCUUCUCCUUUAGGAUUUUCACUUUUACCAACUUUUCAUCCAUCUACCUGCGAUGCCAGGUCCACCGUUGUCUUUUAAGACACAACAACUGCGUUACUGUAGGCUAUGUAUAAUCCAUCCUCCCUCUUCUUAUAAUCUUAAACAGACCAGUGCGGGGUCCCCAGUCUAUCACACGGCUAACAGGAGUAAAGGUUUAAUAAAAUACAGCAGAGCAAGUUUGACUGCUGAGCUGCUUUGUGCCAUGUGUUGUGCUGCAGAGCCCUUACACAUUGCAACCCCAUUCACCACAGAGGUCAGAGACACAUUUCCUACCAUGACACUGUCAUGUUCACACUUGGACCUCUGGUCGCAGUGCCAGGUAAAUACAGGACAAAAUUAUAAAAUCUCCUUGAUGACUGUAACAACUCUGGCGAGAUCAAAGAUGACCUCACAUACAGUAAACAGAUCACCAUAAUGUUUUUUAUCAGAGGGCAGUAGCCAAAUCAUGUAAUUUACUUUUCAUCCUAAAUUAUAGGGUCACUAUUUAAAAGAUGAAUUUAUGUGAGUAAACCAUAGUGAGUCUUUAUCAUCAUCAUAUCACCAUUGGGGUGUGUGUUUCUUUUGUAUGCCGCAUGGCAGCCAAUCAGCUGUCACACAGAGAAACCAAAACAACAAGAGAUAAGUCUUGCAUAUUUUCAUGCCACUUCACUCCUUCAUCUGUCAAACCAGUUCAAGUUGUUCAUUGUUUUAGUCCCUUUGUGUAACAAAUUGUGUAACAAAGGACAUGGUGUUCUUAGAAGCCACAGUUUCAUUUUUAGAGUGAGUCAUUCUGAUACACGCCUACUUCAAAUAUUCUCUGAAGUACAAAAGGUACAAAGAGUAGGGUGAAUGUUUUUAGUCUCUUAAAUACAAUUCUUAUAUGAAGAGCAUUGCAAUUGUCUAAACUUUUUUUUCUAAACAAUCUAUCUUUUAUACAUUAGUCUUUAAGUCUUUAAAUCAAUCAUUUUUGAGAGAUGCUCUUUU